GCGAACGCUGGCGGCGUGCCUAAUACAUGCAAGUAGCACGCUGAAGAGAGGAGCUUGCUCUUCUUGGAUGAGUUGCGAACGGGUGAGUAACGCGUAGGUAACCUGCCUGGUAGCGGGGGAUAACUAUUGGAAACGAUAGCUAAUACCGCAUAAAAUGGAUUAUCGCAUGAUAAUCCAUUGAAAGGUGCAAAUGCAUCACUACCAGAUGGACCUGCGUUGUAUUAGCUAGUUGGUGGGGUAACGGCUCACCAAGGCGACGAUACAUAGCCGACCUGAGAGGGUGAUCGGCCACACUGGGACUGAGACACGGCCCAGACUCCUACGGGAGGCAGCAGUAGGGAAUCUUCGGCAAUGGACGGAAGUCUGACCGAGCAACGCCGCGUGAGUGAAGAAGGUUUUCGGAUCGUAAAGCUCUGUUGUAAGAGAAGAACGAGUGUGAGAGUGGAAAGUUCACACUGUGACGGUAGCUUACCAGAAAGGGACGGCUAACUACGUG
rnacentral:rRNA from 1 species